GAUGUACUCCUUCCGUUCAGAAUUACUUGUCGUAAAAAUAAAUAUACCUAGAUAUAUUUUAGUUCUAGAUACAUCCAUUUUCGAGAUAAGUAAUUUCGAACGGAGGGAGUACACG
rnacentral:pre_miRNA from 1 species